UACGUAGGGUGCAGGCGUUAAUCGGAAUUACUGGGCGUAAAGCGUGCGCAGGCGGUUUCUUAAGUCAGAUGUGAAAGCCCCGGGCUUAACCUGGGAACUGCGUUUGAAACUGGGAGACUUGAGUGUGGCAGAGGGGAGUGGAAUUCCACGUGUAGCAGUGAAAUGCGUAGAUAUGUGGAGAAACACCGAUGGCGAAGGCAGCCCCCUGGGUUAACACUGACGCUCAUGCACGAAAGCGUGGGGAGCAAACAGG
rnacentral:rRNA from 1 species